GGCGAAUGUCACUCGUGCGUAAAAGCAUGGGAAAAAAGUUAAGACAAUAACAUAAAUAUAUUGCUUUCAUAUAUUGCUUAAUUUCCUGUUAAAUUCGUUUAAGUCGGUGACAUAGAAAUCACGGUACAAUACUCAAUAGAUAUAUUAUAAUUAAUAAAUAUAGUUAUUAACUUAUUAUAUCGUAACAUUUCGUUGCAAUAAAAUACCAUUACGGUAUACUAAAGUGCAAACAUGAUAAUGUAAUUGAUGUGAUACAUUAAUUCGUACAGUCUACACUAAAACUAAAUCACUGUGGACUUUAUAGUCUUUACCGCUAAAUAUUAAUCUCCAAUUAUCAAUCGUUCUUACAGAAAUCAUUGUGUAUUUCUAGAAUAUCGUAAUUUUUUCAUUUUGUGACAACUUCAAAAAUGUUGCCAAAUGUUACAAUUAGGCACCAUAUUUGUUACAUUACGAUAAUUUUAAAGUGAUCAACAUCUUGUAUAUGUAGUCUGUCUUGAUAGAUUAGACUGACAAACUACCAAGAAAAACAAUGCUCUUUUACAACAAAACCUAGAUUCCCAUUUCCAAGAUUAAAACCAUUUUAUACUAUAUAAUAUAGUUUGCCUAUUAUUGAUGGAAGUUUAAAUUAAAAAUAAUUUACUGUUGAAAUAAUUCCUAUAAACUAAAUAAUACUAUUACGCUGUUCAUUCGAAUUUUAUUGGUGUUGUCUUGAAUGGGAAAUCCCAUAUUUUAGUUGAGAUGCCAUAUCCU
rnacentral:lncRNA from 1 species